ensembl:lncRNA
AUUCAGAUGUUUGAGAUUCUAAAGCUAUAGAGUUCCAUCCCUCGGUUCAGUUCAGUUCAUUUGCUCAGUCGUGUCCAACUCUUUUUGGCCCCAUGGACUACAGCAUGCCAGGCUUCCCUGUCCAUCACCAACUCCUGGAGUUUGCUCAGAUUCAUGUCCAUCAAGCAGACAGUCAUGUCUGACUCUCUGCGACCCCAUGGACUAUAGCCUGCCAGGCUCGAGGAGACCAAAAAGAAUAUGUACCUCAAGACCUACGCUGAAAUGUCCAGGGUCAUUGUUAGGAAGCAGGGUUGAAGCUCCAAUACUUUGGCCAACUGAUGCAAAGAGGCAACUCAUUGGAAAAGACCCUGAUGCUGGGAAAAGAUAGAAGGCAGGAGGAG